rnacentral:rRNA from 1 species
GAUGAACGCUAGCGGCAGGCCUAACACAUGCAAGUCGAGGGGUAGAGGCUUUCGGGCCUUGAGACCGGCGCACGGGUGCGUAACGCGUAUGCAAUCUGCCUUGUACUGAGGGAUAGCCCAGAGAAAUUUGGAUUAACACCUCAUAGUAUUUUAGUGUGGCAUCACAUUAUUAUUAAAGGUUACGGUACAAGAUGAGCAUGCGUCCCAUUAGCUAGUUGGUAUGGUAACGGCAUACCAAGGCUACGAUGGGUAGGGGUCCUGAGAGGGAGAUCCCCCACACUGGUACUGAGACACGGACCAGACUCCUACGGGAGGCAGCAGUGAGGAAUAUUGGUCAAUGGUCGCAAGACUGAACCAGCCAUGCCGCGUGCAGGAUGAAGCAUCUAUGGUGUGUAAACUGCUUUUGUACGGGAAUAAACACCGCUACGUGUAGCGGCUUGACGGUACCGUAAGAAUAAGGAUCGGCUAACUCCGUGCCAGCAGCCGCAGUAACAC